rnacentral:lncRNA from 1 species
CAAUUUUUAUUUUAUAUUUGUAAAUGUAUAAAAAUAUAAACAAAACUAUAUUAUGUAUAUUUGGUGUAAUUUAUUACAACCAGUAUGACAGUUCAUGACUUUAAUACAUUCAAAGUAUGUUAAUGCUACGAAAAAGCUUUUGAUACUGUCAUCCAUUAUAUUUCAUGCAUGUACUUAAAAAACGAAGUUACAAAUUGACUUAUAAAAGUCCUGUAUCAAAAACCAAACUGGUCUUCAAACUUCGUCUUAUUUAACAUAUACCCUUAGAUGAAAAUACAUAUAUCGAUUAAAACAUAUAAACAUCUACUCAGUUCCACACAAUAGUAUACACAACACAAACACAGAUUUCUUUUUUAAACACUUAAUAAUAUACUAUUGUUUAUAAGAAUUUUUAAUGUAUCAUGCUAAUAAAACGAUCUGUCAAGUAAUAAGGAGUUAAUAUCUUUAAGUACGAAUACAAACUGAGUCGGUUGAACGUGUUUCGAAAUCUUGACUGAAAAUAAAUUUGAAAAUGUAUAUUGUAAAUGAAAAUUAUAGUUUUUGAAAAAAAAAGAUAGUAUUUGAUCUACGUAAAUUUAUUGGUAACAUUACGGUAGCACAAAACAAAGAUUUUUUUUACUUCCAAUCACUAACCUUUGAAAUGCUG